CACGUAGGCGGUCCGGCAAGUCGGAUGUGAAAGCCCUCGGCUCAACCGAGGAAGUGCAUUCGAAACUACCGGGCUUGAGUACCGGAGAGGGUGACGGAAUUCCCGGUGUAGAGGUGAAAUUCGUAGAUAUCGGGAGGAACACCAGCGGCGAAGGCGGUCACCUGGACGGAUACUGACGCUGAGGUGCGAAAGCGUGGGGAGCAAACAG
rnacentral:rRNA from 1 species